GAUGAACGCUGGCGGCGUGCCUAAUACAUGCAAGUCGAGCGAAGCGGGGACGGGUGAGUAACACGUGGAAAACCUCCUAUAAAAAUGGAUUAAUUUCGGGAAACAGGAGCAAAACGGGAUAUUUCGCGAUGGAUCCGCGCUGCAUUAGCUAGUUGUUACUGUAACGGCGUACCAAGGCAACGAUGAGUAGCCGAACUGAGAGGGUGAUCAGCCACACUGGAACUGAGACACGGUCCAGACUCCUACGGGAGGCAGCAGUGGGGAAUCUUCCGCAAUGGGCGAAAGCCUGACGGAGCAACGCCGCGUGAGUGAUGAAGGUCUUCGGGUCGUAAAGCUCUGUUAUUAGGGAGGCGGUACCUAAUCAGAAAGCCACGGCUAACUACGUGCCAGCAGCCGCGGUAAUUC
rnacentral:rRNA from 1 species